UCCAGCGGACAUCAGCUGUGUGUUUUCAUUUAGCAAUGGCGCUGGAGAAGUUGGGACAUUUGGAAGUAGUUUCUCUUAUAAUGAAAAUGAGAUCAAAUAUUUUACUGAUUUCUAAUUACAUAUACGUUUUGGCAUAUUAUAGGAUAGUAGUGUGGAAUAAUAAGGAAAUCCUUGGAAAUACGCGAGGCACCUGAAACCGGGAUGAGCAAUGCACCACGUGUAGAAGGGCUUGCGCAACAAACUGCAGAGUUAAAGAGAUGCACCAGGUUUACAAAACAUUUGACAACAGUGGUUCCCGUAAUGUACACAUACUGGUACUGCAUACUCAAGCACACAAGUUAAAGAUGAGGAACGGGCAUCCCUGACUGUCCUUGAGAAGCAUGAGAGCUGGAGUGUUGGGACAAUUGUAAUCCACACUAUCAUUAAUGAUAUUUAUCAUUGACAGUCAGAACCCCUGCUGACAGACUUCACAUCCCUCAUUCAUGCCAGGAAGGAGGGGACCCUGGCUGCAAGGAUUGUUGUGUUAAGUCCACUUUCUAUGCUGCUUAGAUCAGAUGAAACCUACAAUGAGUACCUGGCCCUAAACAUAUGGAUGAGAACUUGGCUUCCUUAACAAUUUGGCUGUCUUCUGGGGAAGGGGUGGGGGGCUGCUUUUCUGCAGAUGUGAUGGCCUGCAUCGAAACAGGUUCUACGCUCAGUUCCUCUCUGAAAAUACCUCAAAACUAAACAGUCUUUUUUGACUAUAUGACUAUAGUCCUAAUGUUCACUAUAAUCCUGUGUUACACUACAGAAUUAUCAACUUGUAAUGCGUCUUUUCUCAAAGAACUCUCAGACUUAUCUAUAGUAGUAACUAACUAUGUCAGGUUCCUAAUUGCAUGCAAUUUCAAAUUUCAUAGAGAUAACCAAUGUGAACCUAAAACAAGAGAAUCCAUGAACUUACUGAACUCUGUUGAUCUUUGCACAUCAGUAAGGCUUAAGUUAUCUCAAAAGGAUUAAAAUUUGACAUGAUGCACGUCGUGGAUAUCUGUAUAUCUGACCAUUUUUGCAUCUCAUUUGAUGUAGAAAUACUGGUAACCAUAACUAAAGAGAAGCAUUACAGAGAACUGCGGAAACUUGGGAUAAGUUCCAAAGUAGCGUCACAGAAAGAAGUUUUCUACAGUGCAUGCAAACCUCAAUCUGAUGUUGUUUAGAAGGAAUUCAGUGGGGCUGAACUUGUUCUCAUCAAAAGUUUUUUCUAAUGUUAUAAAUACCACUAGCUUUUCACAUCCAAGAAGCAAACAAGUCAGAUCCUGAAAAUGAAGGCUGGAGUUGGACAUGGCCAUCUAGAGACUCCUAUUCUUUUUUUUUUUU